rnacentral:rRNA from 1 species
GCGUGAGUGAUGAAGGCCUUAGGGUUGUAAAGCUCUUUUACCAGGGAUGAUAAUGACAGUACCUGGAGAAUAAGCUCCGGCUAACUCCGUGCCAGCAGCCGCGGUAAUACGAAGGGGGCUAGCGUUGUUCGGAAUUACUGGGCGUAAAGCGUGCGCAGGCGGCUCAUUAAGUCAGAGGUGAAAGCCCAGGGCUCAACCCUGGAAUUGCCUUUGAAACUAGUGGGCUUGAGUGCGGGAGAGGUGAGUGGAAUUCCCAGUGUAGAGGUGAAAUUCGU